UACGUAGGUGGCAAGCGUUGUCCGGAUUUACUGGGCGUAAAGCGUAUGCAGGCGGGUUCUAAGUAGGAAGUGAAAGGUUGGAACUCAACUCUAACACGGCUCCCUAUACUGGGAAUCUUGAGUGCCGGAGAGGAAGACGGAACGACACGUGUAGCGGUGAAAUGCGUUGAGAUGUGUCGGAACACCAAUGGCGAAAGCAGUCUUCUGGACGGAUACUGACGCUGAGAUACGAAAGCCAAGGUAGCAAACAGG
rnacentral:rRNA from 1 species